rnacentral:lncRNA from 1 species
AUAAUUAACCUUACAUUAACUUUAGCAACUAAUACAUCAUUAGCACGACUACUUGUAAUCAUCACAUUCUGCUUCCCACAACUAAACAUCUAUACAGAAAAAUCAAGCUCAUACAAAUGUGGAUUUGAUCUAAUAGGCACUGUCUGCCUGCCAUUUCCAGAAAAUUUUUUGUAUUAACUAUUACAUUUCUAUUCAACCUAGAAAUUUCCCUCCUAUUACUACUACCAUGAGCAUCUCAAGUAAUCCAAAAGUUAUUCUUACUAUAGCUCUAAUUUUAAACUGCAUUCUAGACUUAGGCCUAAGCUUAUGAAUGAAUCCAAGAUGGACUAGAAUGAGUGACUUAA